GCGUCCGUAGCUCAGCUGGAUAGAGUACCUGGCUACGAACCAGGCGUUCAGAGGUUCGAAUCCUCUCGAGCGCGCCA
rnacentral:tRNA from 1 species